rnacentral:rRNA from 1 species
CACGUAGGGCGCAAGCGUUGUCCGGAAUUAUUGGGCGUAAAGAGCUCGUAGGCGGUCUGUUACGUCUGCUGUGAAAACCCGGGGCUUAACCCUGGGCUUGCAGUGGAUACGGGCAGACUAGAGGCAGGUAGGGGAAAAUGGAAUUCCCGGUGUAGCGGUGAAAUGCGCAGAUAUCGGGAGGAACACCGGUGGCGAAAGGCGGUUCUCUGGGCCUGACCUGACGCUGAGGAGCGAAACGUGGGGAGCGAACAGG